rnacentral:rRNA from 1 species
UCCAGAGGGUGCAAUCGUUAAUCGGAAUUACUGGGCGUAAAGCGUGCGUAGGUGGUUUGUUAAGUCAGGCGUGAAAUCCUGGGGCUCAACCUCAGAAUUGCGCUUGAUACUGACAGACUCGAGUGUGGUAGAGGAUAGUGGAAUUCCCGGUGUAGCGGUGAAAUGCGUAGAUAUCGGGAGGAACAUCAGUGGCGAAGGCGGCUAUCUGGACCAACACUGACACUGAGGUACGAAAGCGUGGGUAGAAAACAGG